UGCUGCGUCGAAGAGUUUGCAAACUUCUGAGGUUUUUGGGACAGAUACUUGACAUCACAUUGUACUCGUGUCCUGCGGCGACAGUCCAGUCUCUCAGGAACAUUCCAUGACUGGGCAGUACUGGGUCAUCAGCAUACCACUCAUUGUCUGAUCGAUGGGUGUGACACUUUCCUUAGGGGCUCUCCCAAGAGGCUGAGCUUCACUUCCCACAAAGUUCCAGGCAAGAAGUCCAAGAGCAAGGUACUGGCAGAUUUGGAGUCUGGUGAGGGCCGAUUUCCCCACAGAUGGUGCUUGCCGGCUGUGUCCUAACGUGGCGGAAGGGACCGGUGAGCUCUCUACAGACCGUUUGUUACCUGCAGCCAACGGUGGUUUGGAAGCAGAUGAUCCUCCUGAUGAAUUAACAGAAAGUCAAAAAUAGUCUACCACUGGGUCAAAAUGUCUGUGUCAUGCCCUCUCUUCAUCUCAUCACAGGCAUUUUAUCAUCUGACAUCAUCACAAGAAAGGUUCAAAGAGUCAAGAGGGUGCUUGCCACCCCUUCCUUCACUGCCAACCGCCCACUCUCUGCUCGUCUCCAGACUUGAAGGUGAAUGUGGCUGGAGAAAGACAAGAGGAUGCUAAUGUGUCACCAGGAGGGAUCAGUGCUGCUGAACGAGCCCACGCUUCCCUGGUAGGUUCACUCUGUCUUCUACAC